ACAUUUCAUUGUAUGAUAAGAUUCGGUUAUGUUAUCAAGAACAAGGGCUAGUGCACUUAUUCAUUACUGGGCCACAGAGCACACAUUAAUGAUGAUAAAAAUGUAUAAUAAUAUACCAUAUAGGGGGACUGUUCCCCUAUACUCUCAUUAAUUACUGGAAGAAAGGCCCCUAUCUGUGAGAAUUCACCUGUAAAUGAUAUUAAAAACCGGGUCAUUACCAGAUCCUUACUGGCAUCGGAGUCCCUUCAAGUUUCUUAAAAAGCUCAGAGCACAUCCGCUUCCACCACCGUGUCCACGAGGGACUCCAUCCAAAUUUUUCGAGUUAACCCACUUCUUUGGCAUUAGUUGAUCCAUAUUGUAUUGUUUCAUAUUAUUUACAAGCAAGCAAUCCAUGCCCCACAAAACCCCAAAUGUCAAAUUCGAUGUUGUGUGAGAAUACUGGAAAAAUAUCAGUAUAGUCCGGAGCGUGCGGAGUAAAACAUGAAAAAAUAAAAUUUUAAAAAUUCUA